CAAUGCAGCAUCUAAAGAGGAUUCUUCAAGAAUUAACAGGCUCUGAUGGUGACAUUCCCUCAGUGGAUUUCAGCAGCCAUGGUGGGAGAAAAUUCCCUUUAACAACCAUGAAGAAUGCAGUGGCUCCUUCCUGCUCACAUCCCACAGAUCUUCAGUCCCAGGAUGUUUCCCUGCUCCUUACAUCCCUUGGUAAGUUUUCACUGGCAGCA
rnacentral:lncRNA from 12 species